AAGUCGUAACAAGGUUUCCGUAGGUGAACCUGCGGAAGGAUCAUUAACACUUUUCAUCCCUAACUUACCUGCAAAGAAGGGUUGUCGCGUUUUAUCCGCUGACGGCUCUUCUUUCAGGUUACCAACCCCUUUGUGUGCACUUGUUGAGAGGAAAACCAUUCUAAAACGAACGCAAGUUCUGCUUGGGGUGGCAACUUCCUCUUGCUUUUUUUUCAACUUUUACUUUUUUUACCCCUUUUCUAAUGCGAUAGACUGAAAUAAUAACCUUUUUGGAAGGGUUUAAAACAUCCAAAAGAGUAAUACAACUCUUAGCAACGGAUAUCUAGGCUCUC
rnacentral:misc_RNA from 1 species